GUUUUGUAUUCUAAUAUUAAAGGCAUUCGUACUAGUAUUAAGUACUAUAGAUUUUUUGAAAGUUGUGAUUUCAUUACUUACAAAUAUACGUUGAUAUUACUGUAUGAAAAGAAAAGAAAGAAAUGACAAGAUUAUGGAAAUCUCUAGGUACAUUUCUAGUGACUUAAUAAGAUUAAAUGUUUUUUGUAGGAAAAAUGAAAAUUUUGUUGAUUAGUUGAAAUAUAGUGAGCAGUGACGCUUUUUAUACGUUUAUCCAAUCGAAAUAGGUAUAAUAUAAAAAUGUAAAGGUAUUUGUAAAAAGUACUAUACAUGAAAUAUGUAUUUCAUUUAUCUCUUAAUGUUGGUAAGCCGUCUAUCGAUUCUCCCCACGUACACACCUCCUCUUCAGUCAUCGAUUGCACUUUUUGCACCUGCCAUUUUUUUUCCAGAGUAAUGAGAGCCUCAUCUCAAACCAGUAGCACGAGGGUGCAGUAAAACAGGCCUGACCUGCGAAACCACCCUCACCCUCUUCGUCUCAAUGAAUCUUUCAUAUUCAAUAUCUUUCGAAAAUUUUUGAAGUGUCUCCUGCAAGAAAGAAAGACAGAGAAAGAUACACUUGAGAAGUCAAAGUGUGGAACGAAGGAAGAAUAACGCUGCCAUCAGUAAGAAAGAAAAAGAGGAAAAAAGACAGAAGUAGAAGAAGGUGAAAGUAAGAGAGAGACGGACAGAGGGUGGGUGGUGGGGGGCUCUCGGUUUAAGAGAGAGGGAGAGAGAGGAGGUCGAAGGGAGUCGAGCGAGGAGAAUGACGGAUAGCCAGCAGCAGUUUUGCUUGCGUUGGAACAACUUUCAAGCUAAUAUCACCAGCCAAUUCGAGGCCCUCAGGGAUGACGAGGACUUCGUUGAUGUCACCUUAGCCUGCGAUGGUAGGCGUCUCCAGGCGCACAAGGUUGUCCUCUCCGCGUGCAGCCCUUACUUCAAGGAGUUGUUCAAGACAAAUCCAUGCAAGCAUCCGAUAAUAUUUAUGCGAGAUGUGGAGUUUGAACACCUGCAGUCACUUUUGGAGUUCAUGUAUGCUGGGGAGGUUAACAUAUCUCAAGCAGAAUUACCCACAUUUUUAAGAACUGCUGAGUCUCUACAAAUCCGUGGCCUCACUGACUCUCAAAAUAAUCAGCACAACAACGAAAAGCAUUUGAAGACAAACAACAUACACACAUCAAAUGGCCGUGGGCUGAUCUCACCAAAUUUGGAGGAGGACCGUAGCAAAACUCCACCAACUUCAAGUCCUCCACCAUUAAAAAGGCUGUGCAAACGAAGUGAUUCGCCUCAAAUAUCUAGUCCAGUACCAGCUCCGGCGGCCUGUGCAACUGGAACGCCACGCACACGGCCAUUAAUUGAGCCACAGGUUCAACUUGACUGUUAUAAAGAUCUCGAUAUUGUUGAGCCAAAAAUAGAAUUACCAGAAUAUGGAAGCGAUGAUGAUUGUUCUCCAAAGCAGGAGGUCAACACACUGCCAAGUGGUUUUCUUAGCCUCGAUGGUGGCAUGGAAGUUUUGCCAUCUUAUCCACCUUCCUAUCAAGGUGGAGGAGCAGGAGGAGGAGGAGGAGGUGGAGGAGGGGGUGGUGGAUCACUAGAAGGUGGGAUGCCAGGACCAUCUCAUGCUGGUAAUACGGAAUUAAAUCAAGAACAACAAGGUCGAAGGGUACGCCGCGGCAGGCCGCGGCUUGGGACAAGGGGUGGAAAACAUGGAUCCCCGUCUGUACAGGGUAAUUCGCCAUCGAGGAGUGAAUGGUUACCCUUGGAUAUGAGAACUACACCUCCUGCUGCGAUGCCUGCUUUCCGUGGUUUCGAGGAGUCCUCUUCCGACGGCGUGGUGCAUUUGGGAGAGGGAAUAGCAGUUUGCGAGGAACAACUAAGGGCUGUGAAAUGGAGCGAUUACAGAAAAUUGACCCGUGGACUGGCUGCAAUUUUGUUCAGCCCCACCGAGUUGGCCACCUGCUCGGUCACAGGACAACGAUGGAGCCGAGCUGGAACUGCCACUGAAAGACCAGUGAAACCUGCGCUAGAUAAGGCCAAAGUACAGGCUAUUAUAUCCUACGUGACAUCGAGGUUUCCCACAGUCGACGUGAGCAGCGUGAAGCAAGUGUUGGCUUACAAGUGCAAGGAGAACUCGACGGCACUCAAGAUGAAAUCUAUUAGAUACAUUUGCCUGCGAGGCGCUUUGACUUUUAAAUUAAAGAUUCUGGGCAUAAACAAAUGUUUUCCAUUACUGAAAGAUACGCAGCAUUUACUACUUUAAUGUUCCGCAGAAUUUUAAAGAUGUUCCCUUAUUCAGAUAAGAUAAAACGGAAAUAAUAGCCUUUCUAAUAAUCUGGCAGACUUACAAACUUUUGUUAUGUCUUCAGAUACACAAUUUAUAUUUAUAUUACUUUCUGAGUGUACUCAUUGAACGCGGUACAUAUAUACAAUCCUAACCUAAAAUUUUCUUAAGAUGAAGACUUACCCUAUUUGACAUUUUGGUUAUAAUAUUGAGUAUAAACAUGUUGUAAAUAGAAGUAGUAUAAUUGAAGUUAUUGUGGUAUUUCAUUUUUCUAAAACGAUAUCCGAUCAAUACUUGUUUGUUUCUAUUCUGUGUGUCACGUAACGUUAAUUAGAAGUUUUCUUAUAUAAUACCUGAUGGCCAUAUAGCAGACACACGACACAAGUAUACCUGAACAGCGUUAAGCCGGUUACACACGUAACUAUAUACUUUAUAUACUAGCAUACUAGCGGUAUACAUAUACAAAAUUUCACAAGUAUACACGAGCGUGUGUAUGAUAAUAUUGCACAAGUAUUUUCAUUGUACGAGAAAUAUAAAUACGUUUAAACAUCCAUACUUGUACAAGCCGUGUGUGCGCAAGUGUACCUUAAGCCGGUUGUACACGUAACUGCAUACUUGAGCGGUGUACAUGUACGAAUUUACUGCACAAGUAUAUCUGACGGCCAUAUAGUUCUCACACGACACAAUUAUACCUGAAUAGUAUUAAACAGGCUACACACGUACAUAACUGCAUAUUUGAGCGAUAUACACGUACAGAUUUAUUUCACAAAUAUACAUGAGCGUGUAUAUUUUAAUAUUGUACAAGUAUUUGAACUGUACAAGUAACAUGAAAAUGUUAGAAUUUAUAUUGAGGAACUUAGUAGUAGAGGCGUGACUUAAAUUUUAACCCUCUGGUGGUAAGAUUGCAAACUGCUGAAAGUAGUCUAGUCAAUUAGCUGGUUUAUUUAUAUUCCAAACACUCCGUAGCUUCUAACAAUUUAAAACUUGUUUAAUAUUCUAUGAAGUAGUUUUGUUUUUCUUUACAAGUAGUCUUUGUUAAUAUACUAAGAUCUGUGUUAAUUGAAGAGGUUGGAAGACUAACUGAUGGAAUUGUAGUAUUCUUUAAACGACGUAUGCGACUAUUUAGAAGAAAAAAUUUAAAUAAAUUUCUUACACGACUUCUUAAAAUUCAUGAAUUUUAUGUCCAAUUCUAAUUAUGAUUGCAAUAAUACUUGGAACAAAAUAUUUUUUUGUAAAGUAUAAUGAGUAUACUCUUAUAGAUAAUGAUACACUUUUGUCCAUUGUUAUAUUUUUAACCCAUGCACUGAAGCGGUCAAUAAUUUCCUCUUGACUUUAUUUAUUUUUUAGUUACACUGUAGGUUUUCAGUUCUUUGAAAGAUAAAAGAAAAUGAUAAAACGGACAGCGUCAUUUUGACAUACAACUGUACACACAACAAUAUAUAUUAUUUUUAUUUCUUUCUAGAAAAAGUUCCAUUGCGUAAAUUUUUAUAAUUACAUAAAUAAUUACACGACUGUUGUUAUACUGAUCAAUUCGCAAGCAUUAAAACGAAUUUAAAACACGUUCUUUACAACGUGUCCCUUUAAAUAUUAAUGAUCGUAUAGGUGAUAGAUACUCGAUUUAUUCUCGGUAGUUCAAUUUUCUGCUACUAGUUGGCGUAUCCAAAUUCUCAGUUUCCUAAUCGUGUAGUACCACUACAGUGAAUUUUGCUUAUAAUGUACGUGCUUGAUAGCGCAUGCGUCGAUAUUGGUUGCCAACCUAACCGAAUCCAAACCUAAUUCUUAUCUUUUGUCUCUAGUUUAUAUAAACGUAAAUUAAGCGACGUGGUAAACAUGUCUCCUAUGCUUGUAGCUGUGUCGCAGAUGGACACGUACCUACAGACAUAAUUUAUUCUUACGCGCUAAAUUUAUACAAGUACACCGCUCAAGUAUACAAUUACGUGCAUAGUUGAUUUGGCUGCACUGGAGUAUUUAGGCCUACGUCUAUUGGGCCGUAUAAUACAACAUGAGAAAGCUUAUGAGUAGAGGAAUCCCACAUUGGUCACAGCUACUGCAACUGUAAACGUUCUAUUCUAUUUAUAUAAACAUCCUAUUUAGAAAAUAUGGGUUAAAAUGUGUAAACCUGGUAGUAGAAUAGUCUGAGCCAAACCUAACAUGAUCUGACAACGCAACCCAACUCUACAGUAAUAUUAUAGUAAGACCCAUAUAAAAACCAACGAUAUUUGCUACCAUGAAGUAUAAUCUAACACAUAGGGAAAUAUGUGCGAUCGAUGACUAUUUGUCACAGUGAAUCUACCUUUCAGUUGUGUAUCACAUGAUCUUUCUUGAAUUUUAGUAAAUUAUUAUUAUUAUUAAAAAUAAAUUUAAUUAUUAAAAUUUAUUAUAUUAUUAUUAUUAUAUUAUUAUUAUUAAUUUUAUUAUAUUAUAAAAUUUAAAAUAGUUCAAAUAUUUUAUUUAUAUAAUUUAAUAUAAUUUAAUAAAAUUAAAUUUUUAUUUUUUAAUUAAUUUAUCAUAAUAAAUAGAGUAUUUUAAUAUAUUAAUUAUUUUAAAAUUUAUAUUAAUUUUAUUAAGAGGCGAAUAUUAAUAUUAAAAUGAAUUAUUUUAAAUUAUGUUAUGCGGCAAGAUUGUGUUGAAAGUUUGCAAUUCUCCCUUGCCCCCUCCCCUCUAUCUCUAUGUCUAACCUAACCCUAAUCCCCCAUAGGAUGUUGUUCCACGACUGUUGCUUCUCUAUAAUGUACUUGAAUCCAUGGGAUGCUACCUACUCGUUUUCUGUUAAUUUUAUUAUUCGGGUGCUUUUAUAUUCUUCCUUUGUAUUUUUUAAUACGGUUUACUAUCUCCUCGGACAGAGUUGGUAUUUUUCUCUCUGUGCAUUUUCAUUUCUGGUCCACAUGUACAUAGUAACAAAUACACUUAAAUGAAAUAAACUUUCUGCAAGAAGAAUGCAUUUUUUAUCGCAAUUUGACCUAUAUUUUCUGAAUGAGAUGUUCGCUGCUAGGAUGGGAUGACCUUGACCACCUUUAUUGGAUUCCUCUGCUCAUGAGUUUUCCAGCUCAUUGGAAAUUGGUUGGUGUAUCGUAUGGUCCAAUAGAACUAUAAAUUAUAGUACUGCCGGUUUAAUAAGUCCAUCAAUUUAGUUAAAAGAAAAAGUGCAACAUUUUGUGCUUGCUACGUUACUGAUCAUGUAACGGGUAACUGAACACAUUCUUAGGAAACGUUUCUGCAUGUUGAUCUAUGUAAAUACGUAGAUGUUUCCCUUUUCCAAUAAUAUUUCCAUUAUGAUGCUUAUUUAUGGUAUUUUAUGAUUCGCAUAUUUUUUGAAAAUACAUGAAAGGAAACUUCACUUAAAUAUCGUAUAAUAUGCGAUCAUAAAUGAUGAAGAAGAAGAAGGAAAGCAAAUCAAAAAUAGAAAUCAACUUUUUGAAAAUAAUGCAACGACAUUCUUAAAUAAUUAUUCGACAGUACUCUAAAAAAUAAUAAUAAUAAAAUAACAUAAAGUAUCCUUACCUCGAUUAAAAAAAAAAAUAAAAAAUUUAGAUUCCUUUCAUAGGUGGUCUGAAAUUUUUGCACGUACCGUAUGUUUGUAUAAUAUCAAUUUGUAUAGUAGCAUAAUUAAAUUUACCUGUAAAAAUGAAAUUGUUAAUUUUCAAUGGAAGCAAGUUGAAUUAAAAAUGAGAAUCGCAAUUUUAUUUCUCAGUGAAUGGAAAAACUCAACAGCGACAUUAAUUUAAAUUAACACAUUAUAUGCACUUGAUAUUUAAACCAUGAAAAAUGAAUUAUUGUACGUGACAAUUUCGUACUUUUCUGUUUUUUAUUUUAGAAUUUAAUUGUAUAUUAGUGAAAGUGAUAACUGAAUUUAGCAGAAGCAGUCACGAUAAACAAUUUAAUUUAUAUAAUUUAUAACAAUAACUUCUUCUAAUUCACUCAUAAAAUGUUUAUUUAAUUCAUUUAAUUCAUAAAAAAUGUUUAUUUAAUUUAUUUAAUUCACUUUAUAAAAUAAGCAUAAGAUUUGCUGAUACAAAAAUAUGAAUUUUCUUUUGUUAUAAUUUUUUAGACACAUUAUGAUUAUAAAUAUUCCAAAAAUUCCGGGGAAAUAACAUUUUUUUCGAAAAAUUAAACAAAUUUUCAACGUACAGGACCUAAGGAGUCCAUCUGCUUACUGGAUCGUUUUCGACCAACAAUUUUAAGCCAUUUUUCAUUCUUCCCACAUUUGUGUUUCAAUCUUACUUUGUUUAAAAAGACUGAGGUAAACGAGGUAACAGUAAAAACUACUGGAUGAUGUUUUAGAAGCUUGAAAGAACCUUCAGAAGUUUUUUUGGAUCUUUAAAAACACAAAAAUUUAAUAAAAAAAAUUGCAUAAACUUAAAUGACCCGUCAUGGAGAUGAAUUCAGUAAAGUGAAGAUGAAAGAUAAAUAUAUCAUUAUUUAUAUUAAAUAGUACAAAAAAAUCCUAUUAGCUUUUCUUACUUUAUUGUUAUUCACGUUAACUGAUCGUUUAAAUUACCUUUAUUUUCCCUUGAAAAAUCAAUAGUUGAUUUUCCACUACAUAUCACUACAUUCCACUACAUUUCCAAUUGUAUUUACCAAUAAAUGCAAUUAUUUGCUUACACACGUGUUUACACACGUUUCUGUAAAAAACAGGUUAAUAGUUUCUAUAUUAUUAGUUGAUUAUCGUAAAUAGGCAUCAAGUAAAACAAGAAAAAUUAACGUUUCCUAAGUGUUUCUCAAUGAAAAAUUAGUAUUCCUUGCAAUUAAAAAUUUUGUACACAUUCAACUAAUAGCACAAACGUUAGAUACAUGAAAUGCCCAAGACUAUUAUAUCAUAUUCUAUUGCAGCGAUUAAGAAAUUUAUGCGCCAUUAUACUAUUUCCAUUCAGGAAUUUUGUGGAUCUUCGUUAAAAGAGACUUCUGUCAUGCAGACAUUCAGCUGUCUCAUUUAUACGUUCUUCAGACUGUUACAUUAAUAUUUCAUUACAUACGUUUAAGAACACUUUAAAACGAUAGGUACGCGUUUUAAUUGGGUUCAAUAAUCGCAUCCGGUCAUUCAGAGGAAGUUGUAGUUACGACUGUUCUUCCUUUCUGAUUAAUCGUAAGCUUUUUAAAAUUAAUUCCUACGUAUCGCUCGUGAUACAGUUAACUAAUUUCAUUAAGGAAUCAGUAAUUAGUCUAGGAUCCAACGAUUUUAAUUGCAACGAAGAAUGCUUUGAAACAAAUCGCAUUAAUCACGCUUGUAUUACGGACAACAUGAAGUACUUGCAUAUACUCGGUGUUUCAUGAUAAAUGGGCAACAUUUGAGGGACAAAUUCAGCACCCCCCAAAAAAGAAAAAUAAAAGAUAAAAAAAGAUUCGUAUUGACAUAUCGCAGUGUGUUAUACUGUACAAUAUAUACAAUGGGUUGGUAAAAAAAAUGUCCAAGAAUUUAAGGGCUUAUAGUACUCACCAAGAGUAUUUUUUAUUUAUUUAAAAUCUUAGUAGGUGCUGAGUAUACGAUUGAUUUCAAAUCGUCAAAAACAGCUAAUUGGUUAGAAAUCCGAUGGAUGGAUGCACUGAAGAAAUGCAAGGUAGUUAUUUUUAGCAUCUCCUACGAAGGUAAUUAGAUACGGAAUGACAGAAUGUUAAACUCGCUAUAUCUCGUAAACAGGAACUCAAAAUUUUUAGUUUUUGAAUUAUUGGUACAGGUAAAGCAUGUACUUUCUACUGGUAGAGACCUAUAAGUGAACUUUAAAAAUUCACCACGCGAGGGCAGCUGUGUCGCUAUUGCAUCAUCACGAAACUAUAACAGAUUAAUCGCAAAUUAUGCUGAAAAAUACAAACAGAAGCUAUCCAAUCACCCAAAUACUUUCACAAACGAUACACAGCCGACCUAUCCUGAGGAGAUUAAUUAAAAAACAUCGGAACGAUUCAACAAUUUAAGAAACAUGAGAGACAGGAAACAGAAAGAUCACCAAGGGCAAAUCCCGAAGAUAAGUGAGAGGUGGUAGAAGUGCGUUGAACGUGCAGCCAUAAUCGAACAACUUCGCAACGUUCAAUCGAAUCUGGGGACUUCUUGCGGCUUGCGACUAACCUUCUUGCUUCGUCCUUUCUCGGCAUCGACACCUUGAAAAUUACUAUUUUCGAUUAAGUUGGCACGCCGUUUAAUCUGGCCGUGGUUAAUAUGCCACAUAACCACUGAGUUACACGAAGGAUUCGCUAUUGUUAAAAAGUUCAAGAACUUGAAGGAAUCAAUGCUGCCGUGUUAAUUCAAAUAGGUGUAUCUGGUCGAAAGGUGAUUUUGAGAAAAGUGUCUUUCACCAUUUAACAACCAGGCAUCGAUUUCACAUACGUCCGGGAUAUGAACUGUUAUAUCUUCAGUUUUAACGCAGAUACGACUCUCUUAUUUGCUAUACACACACAGGACAACUGUUUUUCUGCUGCCUGACAGCGAUGACUUGAUUUAAGCGGAAGUUGCAGAUAUACCUUUUUGACGUAACAAAGGCAGAAUACCAAGUCGAGUUACUUCGUAGAUUGAUAUUUUACCUUCGAUGAAACAAUGCCGAGACUAUUUGGACAGUUAAAGCCGUUAUAGGAUCAAUUCGUUGAUUGCUUCAGAGUACCAGAUUAUUCUGGUACAUGACGUAGUUCAAUUACGUGAAGAAUUAAAAAAUCUUCGAAGGUACGGGGGAAGAACGUCUCUUUGAGAAAGAACGUGACGUCUUAAAUCGCGUAAUUUCCAGAUUUCCAUAAUUUGGAUCAUGUCAAGGUUGUCCUUAUGCCUUAAACCGCCGUGUUUUAAAUUAGCACCGCUAGGAUCGGUUGAAAAUCAUACGAAUCAAUAAUAUUACCUUCGUAAAGAAUUAUUCAAAAGAAACGUACAUUCGUUUAAAAAAAAUAAUUAAAAACAUCCGACUAUCGUUAUUAAUAAUAAAUAACCGAGCCUUAAAUUUAUCAACUCCAAUUUCUGAGUGUUAAAUACAAUUCGUGAACAAAGAGCUGAUAAGAUGUAAAUAAAAUAACGAAAAGUAUCGUGAACUUAAAAAAGAAAAAGAAACAUCUAACCUAACAGCGAGAUGCUUUUAAAGGAAAAAGCAGACGCGGCCUACAUGAUAGAAAAAUCAUCUUCGAAACGGAUUUUAAAAAAAAAUCGAUCUUAAUAACGAAAGAACUCGUAAUAAAUCAUAUAACUUGUAUAGGAUCAAUAAUUAGAAAUGAACAAAAAAAAAAAAAACAAAACGAAGUAAUUUCGUUUGCAAUAAACACGAUCGUUUAUUAUGAACGAGAAACAAUUUUGUUUAUAAUUCGCGAACGAACGUAGUGGUAGUAGCAACCUCUUAGGAUGGAAUUCAAUGAAAUAUAGUAGAACCUCAGUUGUCCGGACUAAUUGAAGGAUAAGUGUGAUCGAAUAAUAGAAUAGUUACUUUCCUGAUGUUUGUCAGCAAUUUAUUAAAUAUAUAUAUAUAUAUAUUGUCUAUAAAAAUUAAUUUGGCACAAAGCAGAAGUCCAGGUAUAAUAAAUCUUACGAAAUAAAUACGCGCUAUCUCGAGAAACUCCGUAUGUACGUCCUAUGCGUCCGAAUGCUCCUGCUGCGAUCGCUGAACUUCCUAGCUCGUCAUUUCGUUUGUUUAUUUAUACUGGUCGGGGGACAGUCGGAAAGUUUGAACUCGACUGCAUUGGACGGUUGAAAGUAACGGCGACAUUGUUUUGCUCGGAGUUCAUUACACCUUGCAAUACCUGUGACCUAACGGUCAUGAUAGUCGAAAACAAAACAACAACAGGGUUUGAAUUGUCCUGCUCGCGUGCCGCUACAUGUUCAUCGUCGAAAAGAUGUUCAUCUUUGAACGUUCAUAUUUGUCCUAUAUGUUUCAAGAAAGAACAUAAAUUAUAACAAUGGCGAUACAAAUAAUGAAAUUAAGUAAGAUAUUCAUCUUUGAAAGCUCACCUUUGUUCUAUAUAUUUCAAAAAUGUAAAUAAAUAUUGGGUUGACCAAUAAGUAAUAUUGUACCUUUUGUACAAAAAGAUAGUCACUUUGCGUUUUUAUUGAGAAAUUUUAUUCAGCAACGUAGUGCCCGUUUUGGUCCACAGACCAAAUUCUGCCAUCGUGUGGACAGUAAUUCCACUCUUCCAAAACUCAUCUUUUUCUGCAAGGAACAUGGACACGUGCAUUUUGCAGGCCCUCGAAGAAUCAACAUUUUUAUCACUGAAUUUUGUAAAGAUCUGAACAAAUGACGAUUUAAGGAUAUUAUGUCAGAGAAGAGAUGAAAAGGUAUCAGAGCACAUCCCAAUUGAAUUGCCUCAGUUUUUGUCGAGUUUACGACGAGACGUAUGGUCUCUCAUCGUCGUGGUGAAAAAUGACUUCUUUUCUAUUCGCUAUUCCUGGCCAUUUCUCCUCGAUAUUCACCUUUAGCCGGUCCAAUUGCUUACAACAUUUCGUAGAAUUUAUAGUCUCAUCUUGUGCUAGGUGCUCGUAAUACACUAUUCCCUUGCAAUGCCACCAUACAUACAGUGUGAUCUUCUCAGGCUAUAAACUUGGACUUGGAAGUUGUUAAUGCAAUUGAUCUCGGCUUAGUCCAAUGCCUUUCCCGUAGAGCAUUAUUGUAGGUGACCCAUUUCUCAUCAACUGUGACAAUUCACUUUAGAAAUGGCUCGUUUUCCUAACGUUUCAAUAGCGAAUCACAAUUCUAUCCGUUAUGUUUCUUUCUGGCAAUUUGUACGGAACCUAAAUGCCAUAUGAGCCGUUUAAUGCAAAAAUGAUGUAAAUUGAUUGAAAAAAGUUGAUUACUAAAUAACGAGGGAUAAAGUAAAAUUUCUGUGAGGGGUCGAGUGGCUGAUUUUCACAUAUUCUUCUAUCCGCGACUUUAUUAUUAUUAUCUUAUUACACGACUUCUUGACAAAAUAGAAUGAAGGUUAUGUUUUCAAGCUGUACUGUUACAUUAAAUAGGCAAAAGAUUCAUUUACACUACUCUUGCAUCAAACGUUUCGUAUCAGGAAACUAUUACAAGUUGAUGUAAGUGAUUUCGAACGUUAGAUUCCACUUCUUUCAACAUCUCAGUAAUCUGUCUGCUUAUCAACAGUCGAUAAUUUGUCAUUAUCAACUUCGACGGAUGUACCAGGCUGUUUCUCUUCGCAUACCGUAAAAUCUCCACUACGAAAUCUCAUAAACAACCAUUUGCAUCACUUUUACACUUAUAGCAUCAUCAUCGUGCACAUUGCAAACCUUUUUUGUCGUUUAUGUGGUGCUUUUUAACGACACAGUUUGCUCAAUUAUACGUCUCUUCGUCAGAGGCGCCAUCAGCUGAUUUAUGACCCGAUUUGUGAGGUUAGGAACACCACAUCGUUACUUCGAGACAACAGAACGCCAGGUGGCGUGAAAACACGAUGUUACUUAUUGACCAACCUAAUAACAGCAAUAUCGAUACUGAAAUUAAAUAUGAUCUGUUUAGUUGCUAAAUCACGUAGCUGUUUUAGCAGAUUUCAUUCGGCAAAGUUACAUUUCUUUUCUGCAUAGAUUAUGUCUGAGGACUCAAAUGCUACAAAACGUCGAGGAAUAUCAUUAUUGCCAUUAUAUUCGUUUCUCAAUUAAUUCGUUAUUCGAAGCACACGUAACAUUAGCACCAUAGUCAAUCGAAGAAGGUGCAUCACGUUGAUACCAUUCUAUUACGUCGGGGCUGUUGCAAUAACCAAAACCUGGUAUUGCGUUCAAUGCAGAAAGAGUCUCUUCUACGUCUGUCGUAAUAUUAUCUUCCACUUCGUCCUAUAUAGUGUCUUCAAUGUAAUUCACUAGUUUUCUCCAUGCUGUUCUCAGUGUCACACAUCUGAUGCCCAACCAAGCAUAUGCCAUCUCAUAACCGCAAUCUUGUAAACCUAAUUGCUUGUGAAGUUGUAUCGUGUUCUCGCCAGUAGUGUCGUUGGUCGUUGACAAAAAUUCCUGUAAAGGAUUGAACUUCUUACAUGAUGCUAAAUGUGUUCGGAUAAUGGAACGUACGGGUAAUAGGAAAUUCGGAUGACACUGGUUCGGAUGAUCGAGGUUCUACUGUAAUUAGGAUGAUAAGGGCGCAGUUUCGAUUAACUAAUUCUUGGUUAACUUUCUUUGCGAAGAUAACUGUAACAGAGGUUAUGUUUCUUUUUAAUGUAACAUUCAAAGAACGUACAACAUGCAGUCGAAAAGUGUGGUGUUAAUCGAUUUCAGAUUAAUAAACGAAAGAGGAAAAAUUACCUGCUAAAGUACCAAGCUGUUCAGUAGAAAUGUCCCUUUAAUUACUUACAUGAACUUUUAUAUCUUUAUUAAUUUACAUUUUUCAAACUUUCAACUUUUUAUCGCAUGAUAUUGAUAAAAUAUUUGAUCGUAAAAUUGAAACAUUUUUUUACCAGAUAUUAUGAUAUGCUUGAGUUUUGCAGUUCCAUUUUUGACCAAUCUUUUUCUGGGAUAUUGUCUGAAUUAAUAGAAUUUUUAAACUCACAAGUUAUGGGCCAAGUUAUGCAGAAGGCCAUCAGUUCUCGAUGAUCUGCACUCGAGUUUUAGUUUCACGAUUUUAACUUUAAAAAGAUAGCUUUACCUCUGUUGAAUAUAUUUUAUUUCCUGUUGUUGUUUUACAAUUUUACCAUUUUCAAUGGCUUAUUUAGUAACAUAGUUAAUAUAUGGUUUGGAAGUUUUCUGCAGAAUAAUUAUAAGCCUAAAAUGGAACUGUGGUUGCGGUAGUUUUAAUAAUCGUACAGUUGUAAGAGUUGUUUUAUGAGUUGGUAAUCUUUUGCAAAGUGAGCUUCACAAAAUUAUGGGAUCCGUGAUACGUUUAACUAAUCUUGUUGCCAUUUCGAGGACUGCCAGAUUUCUGCGUAACUUGGCCUAAUCGCAUCGUCGUCUGUUUCUUAGUUUGACAAAUUAUUAUUUUAGUAUUUUAGCAAAUUGUAGUUUUUCCUCGCCAGUCGAUAAACGUACCAAGGGGUAAUUGUAACAAGACGUUGAUUACUAUUUUUUCGUCAGACUUUACUAGAAAUUCUCCAUCUGUGUAAACUGAAUAACGAAAAAGGUAAAACAAAAGGGACAACUACCCGGGAUGUGAGGGUAGCAAUUUUCGUAUAGGAAAACGCCUAAAGUUUAAACAAGUAAAUAGGUAAAUAAACCGAAAAAUUAAAGAAAUGAAGAAUAUAUAUAUAUAUACAUACAUAUAAAUAUAAAUGAAAAUAAAUAAACAAACAAAUAAAUUCAUAUGUGUGUAUGUGUGUGUAUACAGAGAUACGUAUAUGUAUACAAAUGCAUACGCACGCAUAUAAUUAUAUUGAAUUAUUAUUAACGAGAAUAGAUGAGAACUUAUAUAUUAUUUGUUGGGAGAGCAUAUAUUAUACGAUAUUUAAUAUAUUUAGGAUAUUUAUUUGUUGAUUUGGUGAUAAUAUAUAUAUAUAUAUAUAACAUAGAAAAAUAUAUAUAUAUAUACAUAAAUAGGUAAAUAAUUUUUACAAGGCCUAUGACAGGUUGAAACAAAUGAAACAUGGUAUUUCAACGGGGAAAAAUCGAUUGAUCACUUUCGCGGUUUUAAUCCGGAUUAUUUUAACUUUACCGCUUAAUUCGUUGUUUUAAUCUGAAGCAAUUAGAAACUCGAAUUAAAUAAUAACAUUUGAUGUAUAUACAAAGUUGCGCAGUAUCCUUCUCCUUAUCGAGAUCGAUUCGUCUCCAUUUUCUAACCUAACUUCAACCUAACCUCAAUCUAUUUUCUAAUUUCUGUUAUACAGGUUACGUUGAAAAUGAAAUUGAUCGCGGAAUUAAUUAGAAAUUGUUAUUUUAUCGAAUUUGUGGUGUACUUGCAGUGCUGGGCAAAACUUUGUUUAACUAUUGAGCAGUAAAUAGAAAAUUGAAAUACUGUUCGAAUUGCGAGUAAGAAUGAAAUUUCUUAGAAAAUGGAAGUCACUUGAACAAUGCGAGAAAUAAUUUCUCUAUUAUUUCUUAUUUACCAAUGAAAUUUUAUUUUUAGUUUGAAUUUAAUUACACGAUAAACGAUCAUGUAUAAAUAAAUAAUUUUCCAUUCUUGUUUUGUCCAUUUGCUUCUGAAACUACUCGCCUUUCAAACUAAUUGUCAAAAGACCUGUUUAAUUUUGUCACAACUAACGAACAUGAUUAAAAAUUACAAACUGUCGUUUACAGUAAUGUACUUGUUAAUAAAUCGUAAAUAAAAAUAAAUAAAAAUAACGAAUACAACUGUACCUGUAAAUAAGAAUUAACUUGAUUACUUUAUAAACAAUGCAUUUAGAAUUGUCCAAAUAACAAAUAAUUUAUCUCUGUUUUUCAUUCGAACUUUCAAAUAAACAAUGCCUCUAUAAAUAAUUAUUUACGUCAAGAUUUAUUCAAUGAUGCUCAACAUUGUUUGCAAACGAACAAUUAACGAAAUGUGCAAUUAAUUGUUGUUCGAUCGAUCGGUAUCGUUAAGCCAAGCCUGUGGCAAAACGUCGAUUAACUUAAUUGCGAGGCCUAACAGAUACAAAUUUUAAACUAUUAAUGGAAAAUAUUUCGUUCUUUAGUUGAGUGAUUCCAUCAUCGGAUUUCGAUAAUCCUCAUGGGAAAACAAUUUAUUUGAAAGAUGAAUCGAUCUCGAUAAAUCGUUUCCAACGUGAAAUUAUUUCUUGACUGUUUUAUUUGAAAACUAGAGGUGAAAAUACAUCUCGUGCUAACCAUGGUUUUGUCGAAAGUUUCUUAAAAAAAAAAUUCUUUCGGACACUUUUUACGGUUUCACGUGUUUAUUAAUUUUUUGUUGUCAUCGGAAAUGAUAGGUGAUUUUAAACUGAUAUGUAUAUAAAUGUUUUGUUAAAAUGUUAUUAUCAGUUAUAUAUGUAGAUGAAUGGAAUUUCAUAAUUUUAUUUAAACGUUAGAGACGUUGUGUAAACAUUUAGAGAAAAUAUAUUAGUUCGUUACGAGUCUGUUAAUUUUAUCGAUGUCCGAUUUCUUUAGCUGCAGUAACAAAGAAUAUUCAACAUUUGCAUUAUUCAUAGUCGUUUUAUUAUAUAUUAAUAUAUACAUAUAUACAUAUACAUUAAUUUAAAUGAAAUAUAUCGAUCGAUCGUGUUGUGUAAGUGAAGAGGAAUAUCGAUGAUAAAAUAUUUGGGAGGAAAUUUUACACGUAAGAAAAUGAAUCUAGCAAUAAAUUUUCUAAAUUAGCGGUUAGUGAGUGAAAUUACCGUGGAAGGUUCGCAACUUUGAUCGUUCUCGGAUGUCUUUAUGUAUUGCGACUGAAAAUUAUCGAUGGGAAUAAUUUUCUUUCAUUAACGAAAGUUGCCCGUAGAAUCAGAUGUACAUCGGUUGUCGAUUAAAAACCAGUUUCGAGCAAUAAGAUUUUGUAUACAAUUUAUACAAAAAUUUAGAAACGAUUUUACCGAAACUGAAUAAAACAAAAUUGUUCGCGUUGUAAAUUCGUACAGUCGGAAACAAAAAUAAAAAAAAAAAAAAGGAAAAAGAAAAAAUAAGUGGACAAGUGGUAAAAAUGGUUGUCAAUAAGGUUGAAAAUAGUAUUGAUCUUACAUAUAUAUAUAUACGAUUUAUAUAAACACCUGCCUAAUUUAUAUAAUAUACCUACAUACACGCAUGUAUAUAUGUACACAUAAGUAUACAUGAAUGAUCUAAUCAAUGAUCGAAAUCGUUAUUUAUAUUUUCAGCAGAGCAAAAUCUUUUAAUGAAUUGUCAGCCAAUUGUUGGAGAACAAAAAUAGUGGUAGAAUUUACUGCACUGUUUCUCACUGAAGUCUUUCUCAUUACUUUUUGGACACACCCGGUAUUAAACGCUAUUCAGAAGAACAAAAAGAGAAAAAAAAAGAAGAAGAUAUAUAUAGACAUAUUACAAAACACUAACAGGUAAUAUGGAUACAUAGCUACCACUGCAAAUUGGUCAGGGGUACUGCACGUUGCUAGAAAUUCUGUUUAGAAUAUUCUGCAAUAUAAAAUAUACCUGCAAUUUGUGAAGUUUCUUAUUUAUGAAGUUAUAAUCUCUAUCAAUACUUUCUAAUAAUUUUUACCAAAUGUAUUCUAUCAUAUCUCUUAUCCAAUGUAAUCUCAGCAUCCAAUGAACUCCACAAGUUGCCAAUUGAAUUACUUGAAACCUUGUUGAUAGCCACUUAAGCAAUUGAAUAUUUGAAUCUUGAGGAAGCUUUUUAUUUUCCUUGGCAGUGUGUUUAGGAUCAUUUUCUUGUUGUAGGAUGAACACUUCUUUGAGACCAAUUCUUAAGCCUGUUACUUUUAAAUUUCCUUUUGUUAUAUCAGUGUACUUAUGGCUGUAUUUAUAGAUACUAAAUCACCAAUUUGAUGUGUCAUGAGAAAUUCCUUUAUACCAGCGUUCCUUAAACUUUCUCCAUUCUCAUUUUGUCUGCACAAAUUUGACGCCAUUUCUGUUGUGUGUACACAAAAAUGUAUACAAAGUAAAUAUACAAAAAUGAAACAUUCAUUGAUGAUAAAGCAAAGACGUUUAAUUUUAAAUGAAAAUUUAAUUUAUGUUAUAUUAUAUUAUAUUUAUAUUACAUUAAAUAUAAAUUUAAUUUAGAAGUUCUUUUUGAUUGUUCUAAAUUAAAUACGUUUGAUGUCCUGAAUAACAGAAUCGGAAAUGUCCUCUUAAUCGACUAUCUUAUUUGUCAAACACGAUUUUUCACAGUCUACUUACUCGCCAUUCUUCUGCUUGUACGUUUAUAUUUAUUAUAGGUUUGUUAAUUUCAGUUAUUGAUUAAGAGGAUAUAUUAUAAAUCAGAUUUAAAUAUGUAAGAUUAAUACUAUUUUAAUGGAGCUUUAUCGAACACCGUUUCUCCCAUUUGUCCACUUUUGUUCCUGACCGUAUAUUUACUUGCCGUUAGAUUUUUAAAUAAUAAAUUUUUCCAAAUUGUUUCGAUAUUAUCUGACAGUUGCUUUCGAUUUGAACUGGAUUAAUUAUUAAACGAUUCGAUCGAUUUCGACGUGCAUUUCGUUUCCUCAAUCAACGUUCACGUACCUCGUGAAGGAGCGAUUAUUUUCUAUCGUUAGAGUUCUAAUUGUUACACUUCUGAUUAGUUGUUUUUUAUAAGGCGAAAUAAUUUGUAAAUAAAAUAAUAAUAAUAAAUAAGGAGAAGAAUAAUAAGAAUAAUAAUUAGGAGUAACGAAAAACAGAAACUUUUGUGAUGGAUGGUUACGUUAGUAACGGAUAAUUAACAAAUAAUUAAUUAGGUUGAACUUUAUUUUGCCAGAACAAGGAUUAUUGACUUUGUUUCUUGCAAUCUUGUAGUUUUCGUCCUGUAGAAUCUGGAAAUGCAGCUUUAAGGCGCGGCAGACACUAGUUCAAAAGUUAUGACUGUGUAAAGCCGAGUAUUUUUAGGUUAUUCUAUACCUUGCUUUGACGCCAUAUUGACUUCUAUACACGAUUCGUCCAAUAAGUGUCGCUGGCUGUGAAUAAAUGCAUGUGAAUGGUGGCCACCUUGUGGCGGGAUUUUGAAUCAUAGGUGUUGGAUUAUUUAUUAAUUGGGUUAUUUAUCAAUUAGGUUCGGGUUAUUCUUUAAGUUCAUCGUCCAUUUAAUAGCACAACGAUGACGUAACGACAUUCAGCUGCUCAUACGUCUUCAACACGUGAGAUUCACACCUAUCGUCCACUUUACAAACUGUCGAAAUUUUCUAGCAUAGUAGCAUUAUACCUUGAUAAAGGGAAAAAGAGGAAGAAAAUACUGGGCACACAGAAGUUUGAAAUUACGAAGAAGCGAAGGUGCAUUUGAUGCAUUGUAUGUGUAAAUAGAUAAUUGGAGAUGUAAAAAAAUCGAUAUUCUCAAAUAUCAACGGCACGAUAUCAUAUAUUAUAAAAAAAAAAAAAAAAAAAUAGAAAAUAUUAUACAAAAACGAAAUACAAAAUUUGGAGUAGCAAUUAACGUCCGUAGAAAAAUUGACAGUACGUCUAAGGCAGAUGCAGGACAAUAAAAUCCUAUUUACGAUAUUUAUAAUAUACAUAAAAUUAAACCAACUGAAGUAAUUAUGGGUCUUGAACUGAUUAAAUAAAUAAUUAUAAAAAAUUCAAGUGAUUAAGCUAACCCUGUUCGUCACCAACGCGUUAUCAGCAGUAAACCUAACCUAAUUCAGAUUACUAUCGAGAUGAUAGGGAGAAUCGUCGAUGCUGUGCUGUUGUCGUUAAAUGGACAAACUUCUAUGAAAACACGUAAAAUAUGUAAAUUGUGUGAAUGCUAGUCUGAUGCUGUUAGAUAAGCGACGAUCCUUGUACAUGGGAUUGGACUGGGAUCAUUGCUACUAAAGUAGAAAAUUUUGUAUUUCACUGAUCUUCUUAAAAAACAGUUUUUAAAUGGGAAGGGUCAAAAAUGUAUUAGUUUCUUCCAAAAAAAAAAAAAAAUUAAUCUUCAACGAAGUUCAGUUGAAUCCUCAUCAGUGCAAGCCAAUUGGUUGAGAAACAGAAGCAACAUGGCGUCAAUAAAGGGACGUGCAAAGUACUUUUGCAAUGCUGAUAAUUUGUUAUCCAUUAAGGUUUCUCGCCUUAAAACUCAUAUUUAUCGAAUCCUUCGCGUGGAAAAUAGCCAGUCAGCAAAAGAAAAAAAGACAAUAAUUGUCGAUCCUGCGAAAUAAAGUUCAGCCGUUAAUUAACCUCUCUCGGUAAGCUUUAAUUAUUGUUAAUUAUUGAAUAUUAGGUAACCGAUAAAUUAGUCAUUGAUCAACGAGCUAAUUUACUUAGGGCAGAGAAUUCAUGGGACUUUUACUCUAGAGAAAAUAGAAUUCGCGCAGAGACGAAUGUGUUACCAGCUGGCGAGCUAUUCCUUGUGAUUCGAAUGGGGAAUAACGGGCUGGCUGAUCGUAUGGUUAAGCAGUUACCGAAAAUAUCUUCUCUCUGCUCUGUGUCCGCCGUGCAACCAUAGGCCACAUACACAUAGAUGCACACUAACAAUUGGUCGGCAAGAUUAAAUAAACAAAUAACAAUCUGGAUUCCGUGAAAACGCGAUUCUAUCAGAGCGGUGGGUCGAUACUGGGAAUCACCGAAGGCAACGGUUUUAAUUAAUCGGUUUUUGUCGGUCGAAACACUCGAACGUAAAUUCAAAACUCGAUCGAACAUAAUUGAAAGUAAAAACUGAAAUGUUUCUCGACUAUAGUUUAGAAAUUUAUUAAUGAAUUUUAAAUUAUCGAGAGAAUGUUGGAAAGGCGGAGGGGAGGGGGAAAUAUAACUUUUUUUCGACCUGACAGGUAGGAAACGCGCGAUUGUUUCUUGUUGAACAAAAGGGCAAAAAAAAAAAAUGCCGAGGGAAAAAUUGAGAAAUGGGGCGUGUGUGCGUGUGUGAGAGGAACAACAAGAAAUUUAUAAAGAUAUACGAAUAAUCUAGAUACCAGAUAACGAGAUGACAUACUCCAUGCCUUACAUAGAAUUAUCUAAGCCUAAGUAGAUGUAUCUAUAUAAUUAGUCGUAUUAAUUGAAAUAAAUUACGAGAACGUCAUGGUCAACAAAGAAUCGAGAAAUCGAGCAUAUGCACAAAUCAGUUUCCGGGGAUAGAUCUUCGAAAUUAGAAGUUUUAUCUUCUUUCCUUUCCUAAGUGUUUUCUUCAUAUUUAACAGAAUAGCUAAUUGAUGUUGUAACGUAUCACGUUGCGUUAACAGAUAUGUUUAUAUGCUUUUUAUUUUUUCUUUUUUUUUUCCCCCCUUUUCAUGUGAUUUAAGAUGGAUAUUAGAAAGAUCGAGAGUGUUGAAGUUUGCACGAGCUGGGUUGUCGCUAUUCACACUGUUACACUUAGCACCGAUCCGUUUAACGCAGAUUGAAGCUUCUGAGAAACAGCCUCGUCCAGAAGUGAAAGAAUUCCGACGUUCCGCCGGCUUUGUAGCUUGUUUCCUCAAGGCUGGAGUGGAAUUUACACAGUUUCACUUUGGAGGAACACGGCCGAUGAACGCUGCUUUCAUCCUCGAAUGAGCCACUGAUGGAAACAAGUUCAUCCGCGAUGUUCCUCCAAACUGAAACAGUGUAAAUUCGGCUUAAGCGUAAAGGCCCAUAUACACUUGCAACAUGUUGCAUGCAUCGAGUCUUAAGUUUCAUGGCACGUGUUACAAUUAUGUAAUUAAGCCUCGACAGAUAGACAUCAGAAGCAACUUGUAUCGAUACAGGAACCCAACCAACAACACAAUAAUCCAAUCUUAGUUGGCGACCAUAACCUUAUUGGGACACAAGUUUCAACGUGCAGAGGGCAUCGCCGAUUUAGUUUACUUAAUUUACAGCAGAUUCGUUAUCAUCGUAUUUUUGGCUGAACUUUGUCCAGUAGAUGUUGAGAAACAGGGUGAUCCAUACGCAAAUAAUUUCUAUAAUCGAUCGGUUCGUUCGUUUUUAGUUCCAUCAACAACGCGAGGUUAGGAAACCUGUUUCUUUCAAUUGGCCAUCUUCUCGCGCGUUUCUUUUUAGAUUUUUAAGUUUCUAUCUUUUUACAACGAACAGACCUCCUAUUGUCGAUGAUGAUACUGGAGUUGGAAAAUAAUCAGACACGUCGAAACACGCGUUGCAACAUUGGCAUCAGGUUAUAAAUUGAGAAGAACCGACAACGUAGAGGCGAACUGAAACUGAACAGAUUUCGUGAAACGUGGACGUCGAAGCAUCGAAACAUGUUUCAACGUGAAUUUUAACGGUGUGGAUAGCGAUAGAGGGAAUUGUAAAAUUCUGUGAUUGUGUUCGUAAAAAGAAGAGUGUUACUUAUUGCCUUUUUGCAAUUUUUUAAAAAUUUCUAUCGUAUCGUACAAGCUACGUACAUUAAUUCUGACUGAUUAAUUCUGAUUCUAAUUAAAGGUAUAUUCGUAAUUGAAAAUAAUCGGAGGAUGUUUCGAAUGAGAAGAAAAACGAACUUUAUCUCGAAGUUAACGAGAAAAGGGACGAUGAGAAGGGUUGUGAUUUAAAACUCGUGUGAUCGUUUAGAGGAAUAUUUUCAUCGACGAUUUACCAUAAACAAGUGCACGAUAGUUGAAAAUAUUUAUAUACCUUUAGACUCCAAUUGUUAUUUACAAAAAAAAAUCGUCGAUGGGAGGUUUCGGUAAACGAGCGAAUUGGUGAAUGUGAUCCGCGGGUUCGUUGUUGACCGAGCAUUUUUCUUAAUGAACUUACAUCCCUAAUUAGAGUGGAAAGUGGCGCUGAUUAACUGGACAUCACCUCGGAAAUUGAAAACUCGGUGGAUUCUAAAUUUUGUUCGUACGGUGUUUGUCGAUAGAGCUAAGAUUCUCGUAAACAUCCGCGAAAAGAGAUGUAUAUUUUCUCUUCGAGCGUUUAUAUUAAACUUCGUCGAUUUCUCUUUCACAUCGUGUAUUUUCACUUUUAACUGGAUCCAUUAGUUGUGUACAUUUCUAAAACCGAAUGACUUAACAACUUCCUGAAUAGCGUCGUUGGCAAUAAAAAUUAAUAAAUCUGUCGAACGUGAAAAUAAAGCGUUUGUAAAAUACAACCGUGACAAAGUUCCCGCAGUAAAUUAAAUUCGUCGGAAGCGAAUCGAUAAAUUAAUACGCCUCGUAUCGGUUAAUUACGGAUUAUCGAACGCGAUGUAUAAGUGAUGCGUUAAUAAAUAUAUUCCUUAAAAUACUGAUUUAUUUCCCCAAAGAAAAACUUCUAUAUAGUUACCGUGUGAUAAAACAGAUAGAGAUAAUAAAUAUUUAUUAACUAUAACAUUGUUUAUUUAUACGAAGGAAAUAUUUUGAAAUCCUAUUCUUUAAUCAUUAAUUUAUUUCUUUAUUAUUAAUUCAAGUUCUCUGAUAUACUUAAUCGCAAAUAACAUACGAAUGCGUGAUCGAGACAAGUCACUAGUAUGGAAAUAACGUUGAAAGAAACAAUUUUUUCUUUUUAUUUAUUUAUAAAUAAAUGAACAUAUAUGAUAUAGUUAACCGGGAACGAACAAUUUAUGAAUUUUUUUUAUCGUUUACUCUGUCGAAUGUCAGGUAUAUGAAAUUGAUUAAAAAUUGAGAAACUAUUGUCGAUGACUUAUUUAUUCCCCUCGAAUAAUUAAGUGAUCGUGAAAAAAUUCUCUUUUGCCCUAAAUCUUUGAACGUUUCUUUCUUAAUGACGAAAUGCGAUUUGAUUACUAUCGAAGAACUAAAUCUACUACUAUUCAUCUUUAUCGAUAAGAAUACUAUUAUUUAAGUAAAGGAUAUGUAGACAUUCUGGAAAUGGUUGUUCACUCGUAUGUAUAUCCGUAUAAGUUGAUUGCAUAUACCGGUGCUUCUCAGCCACGCGAUGAAACCAAUUUCGUGUUUGAAAUUCUUGCAGUAAAAUUCAAUUUCCAUCUGAAUCGUUGGUUGAGAAACGCUAGCUCGACUCCUCUCCAUUUUACUGCUACUGUAUUCUUUUAUUUCUGGUAGCAAUGGAAAAUAAAAAAUUUUCCAAUGAAAUUGUAUGAUUCAAUGAAAAGUUAGGUAAAACUAUUGUUUAGGGGACCCAGGAUAUAUGUUAGUGGCCUUCAAAAGAUUUUAGACGUUGCUCGUUGUUCCUUAAAAAAUUACGAGGUAAAAAUUGUGGGUCUAUGAUACUUUGGUCUACAUUAAUUAAGGUUAGAGCUAAGUUAAAAUGCUCAAACCUGACCUAAACCUAUUUAUGACAACGUAAUUAAGAGACUCGUAGUAAUUCUCACGGUUCACCCACGCUUUUGUUAAUUUCUCCAUGUUGACCUUGGCAUUUAUGCGUUUCUUCCUCUGAUAGCAAAGAGGCUUAGGUUAGGUUAUGGCUCAAAGUGCGCAGCCAACAUGAAUGAAAUUCCUAACCUAAAUCUAAACAAAACUUUAAAUGUGGGAAUAUUAGUAUAAAACAUGUAUAUACACUAUAUAUACAUAUACAGCUGAAAUGUGUACUCACUGUUGAAAAAUAUAAGUUUUACUUACGAAAGCUAUUUUGUUAGUAGUUUUUUAACGAACAACGAGACACGAUUAGAACUUUUCAAAGGUCACCGAAGAGGAUUACCUUGAUAACAUAUCGUUCUUUCGCUGCAACAAUGACAUAGUUCAGUAUUUGUAGUUUUUGAGUUAUUGGUACAGAAAAAACACUUUGUGCUGGUGGAGUCGUGCAAGUGAACUUGGAGCAUUCACCGCGCGAGGGCAGCUGUGUCGCUAUUGCAUCACCGCGACACUAUAGCAGUUCAGGACAUUCAAAUCUAAAAUUGUGAUUUUUCGGUUAUGUCAUUGUUUGCAGCAAACGAACGAUACGUGAAGGACAAGAACGUCGAAGAUGGACUGCCAGAUAGCAGUUUUACCAGAGCUGGAGUUAUAAAAUUGCGUAAAAAAAUAGAAUUGGUUUGAACAACGAAAAUUGUAGCGAUAUUCAGAGAAACUGUAUGGAGUCGAAAUAUUUGCGUCAUAUGGGUGAACUGAGAAGCUUUAUUUGCCGACAAUUGGUCGAAUAUUUCCAUCAAGUUUAGUUUGAUAUUGUAUAUGUUGAAGCUACUGUGAAUUAAAGUGUAAACAGUUACCUAGAAAUUCUACGGGCUAUCGACGAUAGAAUUAAACUGCCAAUCUAUGUUGCAAAAUAUUUCGUGCACAUAAGUCUAUGAUAAUCUGUACAACGAAACGAUGUGAUUUUAAUAAUUACAUUAUGCGGAGAAUAUUUUGCAAGAUGUGGCAGUAGAUCGAGAUAUUGUAUCUUUCAAACAAACUUGUGUAUUCAUCCGUGUUUCUUUUUUAUUUCUAUCGUCGAAACGGCGAUACCAAGCGUUUUUGGACUUAUCCGCAUGAAAAUUGUAAAAGCUGAUGGAUAAGUGGAAUACGGGACGUAAGAGUUGAUUUACGUAAGAGAAGAAAUAAUAAAAUUGAAGUGAUGGCGAUACCGAUGGUCUUCUCUCGAAAGCUAAAAAUGUAAAAGAAAUAGGUACCGAGAGGAGCGCCCGCGGUUGUGAUACGCUACUAGCUAAGUUACGAUUAGCAGAUUUACUAAUUGAUUAAUUAGAUGAUCGUCCUAACCGGUUAGUGCGGCUUCAUUGUCCUGAUUUGUUGUUUGUCAUUUCCUUUAUUCUUUCCUGUGUUAUUUUUAAUAAAUUCACGGAUUAUUUUGUUUAAA